ensembl:lncRNA
GGGGGGUCACCCUGUGGAAAAUACGUACAGGAAGGGGGGGGGGUCACCCUGUGGAAAAUACGUACAGGAAGUGGGGUGGGGGGUCACCCUGUGGAAAAUGCGUUAUGUUUUUUUCCCUGCACAUAUAUCCACGGUGUUUUUCCGCUCCUAAACAACACACAUAUCAGUUGGUAUACUUGAAUCACGCAGGACAAUUCUAUAAUGUGAAGGACAGCAAAAAUGCCUUAUUAUGCUUCAAAACUGAAACCUAAAAAACUAAACAAAAAGCUUGUGUCUAUUUCAUUCAUGGUCCCUGUUAUUGGAAUUCCAAUCAUUUCUGUGUUUUAUUUCGUUGUUUUAUUGUCAUGUUGUUGUUUUUCUUCCACUUUGCACUGAAACGUUAUUUUUCUCUGUGUUUAAUCUGCAAUACAGAGGGAGCUGCCAGUUCCAAUGUAGCUGUUUACUCAAGGACGUUCUUACUGUGUGUGUGUGUGUGUGUGUGUGUGUGUGUGUGUGCUCUCCUCUCUGCCUUGGCACAAAUACCUUCCGGUGGUAUUGUGGAGAAGCAGUUUAACGAUAUAGAGAUGCUGAUUUAUGGCUCGUUUUUGAUGUUUAAAGACAGAAGUAUUUGCACCAACGUUGUGUUUUAAAAGUAGAGAACGUGAGUCUCUGCAGUGUAAAGGAUCUCAGCUGUGACUGGAGCCCCGCCCUGCCAGACUGGGGGACGGGGACGGCACUAUGACAACAGGGGCAGAACAUGUUGUUUAGAGACCAGCCUAUUGUUGUGAUGGAUGCAGCCUCCGGUUGUUGUGGCGACGGCCUCCGGUUGUUAUGGCGACGGCCUCCGGUUGUUAUGGCGACGGCCUCUUUUUGUUAUGGCGACGGCCUCCGGUUGUUGUGGCGACGGCCUCCGGUUGUUAUGGCGACGGCCUCUUUUUGUUAUGGCGACGGCCUCUGGUUGUUGUGGCGCCGGCUUCCGGUUGUUGUGGCGACGGCUUCCGGUUGUUAUGGAGACGGCCUCUUGUUUACAGGCCCUUAGGAGGGCGACAGGUGGAUGGUCAUCUUCCUUCAUUUUAAAAACAAUUUUAAAAAAUAAAAUAAAAUAAAAAAAAUACCAAAAAAACUAUUAAAAUUAAAUAAAAUCGCUAGAAAAAAAAUAUAAAAAUGAAAAAAAUCUAUACCACAACUCUAUAGAGGACGAAGACGAUGCUGAAACUCUGGGAACCAUGUUCUGAUCUGAGUGGGGUCGGUCAGUGUCCUGACUGUAGAUCUGGUGUAGUGUCCUGGGUGUCCUGACUGUAGAUCUGGUGUAGGUCGGUCAGUGUCCUGACUGUAGAUCUGGUGUGGGACGGUCAGUGUCCGGACUGUAGAUCUGGUGUGGGGUCGGUCAGUGUCCUGACCCGUGGUUCUGGUGUGGUUCUGGUUAGACCUGAAAUGGAGCCAGUGUCUCCCCAGAUUCUCUCCUUGUCGGAUGCAUCCAUCUUCUAGCACUGAAACGACUUCUGGUUGUGUGAGUUAGUUUGUACCUGCUUGGAAGAGCUCAGCGGUUUCACCCCCCCCCAAAAAUGCUGUCUUACGAAAAGGUAGAGAAAUCGGCGUGCUUCCUCCUCCUCCUCGCCACUGUCCUCCCAGUGUGUGUGUGUGUGUGUGUGUGUGUGUGUGUGUGUGUGUGUGUGACGUCAGUGGGACUGAACCAUAAAGCUGAUCCCUGUAUCUAUGCAUAUUGUAGCCAAUCACAAGGACUACAGACACGGGGAGGAGGGGCUUAAUUCUGUCUGUGUCACAACGUCAAAAUGUUUUAAAAUUAAUAAUGUGAUGAUGAUCUCUCUUUAUAUAUAUAUAUGACCUUGUUUCAAUCUCUCUCAUUGCCACAGAUGGUGGUCAAGAGAGAGGAAAAAAAUCUGUAAACAAAAAACAACAACAACAAUAAUAAUAAUCGUGUUUUUUUUGUGUUUCGGCUUCUUCUUCGUACCUCCCUAGAUGGCGCUCUGUCUGUGGUCGCUGCAGGGGAGGGGACGAGGGGGGGGUGGAUGUAACCUAUCGGUGGUCAUAAACACAAC